UACGUAGGUGACAAGCGUUGUCCGGAUUUACUGGGCGUAAAGAGCGCGCAGGCGGUCGUUCAAGUCGAGUGUGAAAGCCCCCGGCUCAACUGGGGAGGGUCAUUCGAUACUGAUCGACUCGAAGGCAGGAGAGGGAAGUGGAAUUCCCGGUGUAGUGGUGAAAUGCGUAGAUAUCGGGAGGAACACCAGUGGCGAAGGCGACUUCCUGGCCUGUUCUGACGCUGAUGCGCGAAAGCGUGGGUAGCAAACAGG
rnacentral:rRNA from 1 species